CUGAAUCUGAUGAAACCUUCUUGUGUGGCUCAUAUAGCGCCAGGCAUUUUAUUGCACACAACGAAAAGAAACUAGUACCAUGAAACACCAACCUGGGAAUCCCAAACUUGGCAGCAGCAUCAGUGGCCCAAGGAAAGAGCAUAUCAGCCACCAAACAAUCUGGUUUAUGUUCUUGCAAGAGCUGCUCGAGUGGUUUUUGGAGCUUCGUUGUGGCCAUGUAAAACUUGACAAUCAAUUCCCUGUUCACUUCAUUAGUGAUUGCGUCAAGAUUUUCCCAUCCCUCUGGCAAACCGGCCUCCGCAGAAGGGAACUUGAUGAUCUUCACAUCCAAUUCGAUGCCCAAUUCACUGGCUUUUUGAAUUGAUCUUGAUAAGUGAGGCGCAUUGCCUGGAGUUGUGAUGACACUUGCUUUCACCCCACGAGUUGUAAACAACUUUGCCAUGUCCACAGUUGGAAUCAUAUGGCCAUGAGCCAGGAAUGGAAAGAAGAAAAUGUGAAGCUGACAGAUCCCACUGGCCAUGCCCGCUUGCGAUAGAGAGUGCAGAGACCAAGACAAUGGUUAUUAUUGAUUAAAGUUGAAAAGAUAUCUCAGUUUAUGCCUGUCUGUUCAUUAUAUGUACAAAAUCAGUUAAAAAUAAACACUCGCUUACGUACAGGGAACUAAGUUCAAAGCAUGAAACUUUAUUGACAAACCAAAACGCUGAAAGUAACACACAAAUUCACAAUAAUGUGAAAAAAAUAUUCCCCGAAUUUACCAUUCCCGCACAUUCCACGCUAGUCUCGAAUCCGAGUGACUGUAUUGCUAUAUUAUUUAUUAUGGGACCGCUGAAGUUUGACGAUUUCAAUUAACGACAAUCAAGAAUGGCUAAAAGUCGUCCUGUUAUUAUUGCUAUUUUCUUUAAAAAGGUUGUCUAGUGUUUACCUUUAGCAUUGAAAAAGACCCUGGAGUUAGAGGUGCCUCAAUCUCUCAACUCCAAAAGCACACCAAUCUUCAAACGCUGAGUCACCAACUUGUCGUUUUAAAAUUGCUCAGCAGAGACUGAGACAGGCCCUGUCACCACAGACAAGCCAGCUCUCAAACGACAAGAAAAACUUUGUGAAAUUUGAAAGGCCUGAACCACAGUUGGCGCCGGAGCCCAAAACAAACGUCUUAAUCCUUCUUCUUCAGUUGCAAUUUCACACAAAAAGAUACGAGCAGACUCUCCAGAAUUGCACCAACGUGAGCAAUUCCUAUACGAUAUGAGACAAAAUUUAUAACUACCAUGUUCGCAUUCACAUAUCAAUGAGACAAAUUCAUAAUUGCCCAAAACAAAACUUUAUCUCAUCAGAAUUAUCCUUGGUAUUCCUGGAGACCCGACCUCAUUAUAUUCAUUAAAGACAAACUUGAAUAUUUUUAUCUUCAAAUUUUCUGUUCCAUAGAAAUAAGUCAAUUGAAUUAACUGUAAAAAUAUUCUUAUCAAUUAUUACUUAGUGAAUAUGAACAAAUCAUUCUUCUCAUAUAGAAUUAACUACCAAUGCAUUUUAUAAUUCUUAAUUAUAAUUGAUAUAUAGUUUCUCCAACACUAAAAUUCUUGUUAAUUAACAGAAAGAUUUAUCAUGAGCAAAUAAGUUAAAUCUUAUUUUAUAUAUUUUUUAAACUGUAAUUGGAUUGAUUGGUCAUCAAUCGCCUAUUGUUGAAACAAGGUAGAACGAGGGGAAAACCCAAAUUGAUUUUUCUACCGCUCUCAAAAUUUUAAGUGGGAAGCCAAAUAAAUUUAAUUGAAAUUAAAUAAAAAUGGUUGAAAAUUAUUUCCGCCAAUUCCUGAUUUUCUCCUUCUGUUGCAAAAGUCGCCAACAAAUCAAAUGUUAACAGCUGUUCAAGGCUCAAUCCAACCAACCAAUUGGGAAUCACCCCAAUACGACAGGAUCAAGAACAAAGACAAACAAACAUGCUAUUACGAUACAUCUGGCUUUGUGUGAGUUUAGCUGCUUUGAUGGCGACUUAAACGCAACUCCUCAAUAAGAGCACUCAAAUCAGAGUACGAUGAACCUCCAUUUUCAACAGCCCUUUUUGCCAUCUUCCCCAAAGCCUUGGCUCUGCUCCUCAUUUCUUCUGCCCUAUCACCCACCAUUAUCUCAUUCACUGCCUUUUCUAUUUUCUCUCUCUUCACAAAAUCCCCCACAAUUCUACACCAUUUCUGGAUUCCAACACCAACGCCAAUCUUCAGAACUUCAUUCACCAUCUUUUCAUUGUAAAAUUGCUCCGCAGAGACGGGCCAUGUCACCAGAGGUACCCCAGCAGCCACCGCUUCAAUAGUUGAAUUCCAUCCGCAAUGGGUCACAAAUCCUCCAACAGCUUCGUGAUCAAGUAUCAAAACCUGUGGCGCCCAUCCUCUAAUGAUUAGCCCUUUUCCCUCCAUUCUCUUCUCAAAUCCUUCAGGCAACCAAUCUUCCUUUCCUCCUUCACCGCCAUCAUUCUUGUUUUUCCUCACAACCCAAAUGAAAUUUCUCCCUGAAGCUUCCAGGCCCGUUGCAAUCUCCAUUAGCUGAGCAGAAGUAAAGUUGGCCAGGCUUCCAAAGCAAAUGUAAACAACAGAAUUGGGUUGCUUUGAAUUCAACCACUUCAAGCACUCCAGUUCAUCAAUAGAGGCUUGCUUUCCCCUCAAAGCUUUAUCUUCAAAAUUCCUAUUGCAUAAGGAAACAGGGCCAAUAUGCCAUGCCCUCCUUCCCAAAGCCUUCCUGUAAUGGUCAGCAUAAGCAGGCUCCAGCUCAUAAAAGCUGUUCACGGCAACACCAUAGCUCCUCGACUCUGACUCGUUAGUUGCUUUCAACAACCUGCUCAAGUCAUUAUCUCCCAUAUCCUGUUUUACAAAAUCUGGCAAUUGGUUUCUCGUCAGCUUGAUCUCACCCGGAAAAUGAGGCAUCACAAAUGGCUCUGAAUCCGAUGAAACCUUCUUGUGUGGCUCAUAUAGCCUCAGGCAAUUUGAUGCACACAAAGAAAAGAAACUAGUGCCGUGAAACACCAGCCUGGGAAUACCAAACUUGGCAGCAGCGUCAGUGGCCCAAGGGAAGAAUAUGUCGGCUACCAAACAAUCUGGUUUAUGAUCUCGCAACAGCUGCUCAAGAGGUUCUUGGAGCUUCGUUGUGGCCCCCAAAAACUUGACAAUCAAUUCCUUGUUCACUUCAUUUGUGAUUGCGUCAAGAUUUUCACAUCCGUCUGGCAAACCGGCCUCCACAGAAGGGAACUUGAUGGUCUUCACAUCCAAUUCGAUGCCCAAUUCAUUGGCUCUUUCUACUGAUUUGGAGACGUAAGGCGCAUUGGCUGGAGUUGUAAUGACACUUGCUUUCACCCCACGAGUUGCAAACAACUUCGCCAUGUCCACAAUUGGAAUCAUGUGGCCGUGAGCCAUGAAUGGAAAGAAAAAAACGUGAAGCUGAGGGAUUUUACUGCCCAUAUUCGACUUCCGAAUCAAAUACAACGAUAGACUAGAAUUAUUAAUGAAUGCAACUUUGUUAUUUUUCUCUGUUUCGAUGACCAACUAUGUGUGUGUGGACUCACGAAAGCCGUAAAAUAUAUAGAACACAAGAAUUGGAGAUCAAGAAAUGAUGACGCCUUGGGAAUAUUCUAAGAAGAGGAUUAAUGGUCUUCGAUUCACACGCGUCUUUCUUGCCGUCACCACCUUGCAUUGUGCGUCAGCUUCUUUCACAGUAAUUAAAAGAAAGAAACUUAACCCCUCUGUCAAAUUUUUUGUUUCUUCCCUUGGCCGCAACAGUCUUGGUUCUCAUAUUAGUCAAAGUUUUAUGUAUUGACAAUAAAGAAUCGAUGUUAUUUUUAUUUAAUUUAUUGAUAAAGCACAGAAGAGAGAUUAAAAGUUUUCCUUGAAGUUUCCAUCGUGCCCAGUUGAAAAGGACAAAUGAAAAUAAAUAAAUAAAAAAAAAUGGCUUCGUCGAUGUCUCUUCGUAGUUCAUAGAGACAAGAACAUGAUUACGUUGUUACGUAAGCUCAUACGUUGUUGUUUUUUGCCAGGGUCACGAAUCAGAAUCCACAUGUCACAAUUGGCAUAGUUUGAGUAUCUAGUGCAAUCCUUGAGCAGUUGCGAUUGCCGAGGAGGAUGAUUCUACAGCUUCAAAGAUUAGCUUAUCCCUAAAUUUCUUACUAAUUUUUGAAGCUGGAUAUUUGUCUAUUUUCUUCUUCUUCCGAGCAACAUUGUCUCUAGGAGCCAUUGUUAGUAAUAUGCACUAAAGGCCAAUCGAAUGGUGUUUGUUUGUUUAGGGAAUUAUUGUAUUUGAAUAGCAUUUUGAUAUUUAUAAAAUGGCAAAGUUAUCAACAUUCAUAAUUAAUUUAAUGAAUAGAGUCCAAGAAGUAAAAUAGUUAAGGAACACAUUCUCGAGUUUGUCGAGAAUAUGAAACGUGCAUCCUUUGUACUAUACUUCUAAAAUAGUUCCUAGUGGUGGAUUUAUGAUUGGACAUUAUAAAUUCCUAUAAACACUAGUAUAUGUUAUGACACUUUAUGGUAUGUGAUACUAAAAUGGAUGGUGAGUUUCAUAUCAUUGAUAUGAGAUGUCAAGUCAAACAUAUAGGUACUUGUUGAGAGAACGAGUUUACUGAACUUGACCAAAUAUAGUAAGCCAUAUGGUUUUGAGUGUUAAUGGCUUAUUAUACAUUGUAAUAGACACUAUGUUUAGUAAUGGUCUUUAGACCUAAGGCAUAACAUAUGUCUUAUACAUAGACAUCUCUGAUAUGUGAAAGCAUAAUGAUUGAUUCCUAAUCAAGGAAGAGAUCUAGCAAUAGUUGUCAUGGUUGGCUAUAUAUGAAGACAAGUGUAUGGCCAAUAUGGAAUUCAUCACUUUGUAAUAUACAAAAAGGAUGUCCCUAUGAGAUAAUAUGAAUUGGCAUAAGAAAUCCUUAGCCAAGGUGAAAUAUAUUUGAAGGAGUUCAAAUUAUAUUUUCAUGCCAAGUUCAUUUAGAUUUAUUUUGAGAUAAAGCAUAACUGCUUAACAUAAUAAACCAUAAGCCGUGCUUUUCUCUGGACAUGGAUGAUGAAGAGACCAAGACAUAGAGAUACAAUGGAAUAGGUUCUAUAGAUCUAACAAUUCUUGUUAUUUGGAUAGUUGUGAAAUACUGCUAGGUGUCACUCAUGACUUGUAGAAACCUUAAGAUUAAUAUUGGUAAAGCGUAUUAGCAAUGCAUCUUAAGGUCAUUAGAAAAGUUCUAUUUGAUGACUAAAGAGUUUAGCAUCAUUUAAUGAAUAAAGAGUUAUCAUUAAAAUAGUUCUACUACCUUAUAACUAAGAACCUAAAAUGUCACACACCAAAUAGAAAUGAAAAAUGAGUUACUAGAAAAUGAGAAGUUAAAUUUCCUAAUUUUAGGAAAAUCGAAAUUUAUAUUAUAAUUCAUUAAGAAUGAAUAUAUAUAUAUAUAUAUAUAUAUAUAUAUAUAUAUAUAUAUAUAUAUAUAUAUAUAUAUAUAUAUAUAUAUAUCUCUUAAAUAUGAUUUAAGAUAGAAAUUUAGAUGUUCCAUAAAUAGUUUAAGGAACAAAAUAAAUUUCAUAAAUCCUCAAUUAAACAUCAUGUAAUAUCGAGCACAUAAAAUGACCAUUUUGGACAUGUUCCAGUUCAUAUAUGAUUACAGACUUCUAGACUAAUUUUGGGUUUAGAAUUUUGGGCUUUUAUUGGAUCUAAUAUGGAUUAAGAGAAAGCAUUAGAACAUGUCACAAAAGAAGCCCACAUUUAACCAUUUGAUUUGAUCAAAAUGGGAUUAAUUAAUUAAAGACAAAAUUAAUUAAUUUAGCUAUUUAUUUAUUUGAUUAAAUAAAAUAUUGAAGUGAUAAGAUCACAUUCAAAAAAUAAUGGCUUAGUGGGUGGGUCUAGCACAUGAUAAUGUUUGGUGCCAUUAUUGAAGAUAAUGGUGGCUUUAUUUGGUAGAAUGAAUCAUCAUGAACUAGCAUUCAUGUUUCUUCAUUAUCUCUCUCAUUUCUAAAUGCAAUUUCGAGAUUCCAAAUCCUAUGAACUCCUAGAACAUUUCUAAGUGUGGACGGACUAAAGGCAUCACAAUUGAGGUACUUUAAAGAUCUCAAAUCGUGGCAAAACAGAAGCUGUUUGUGCAGAGGUCUAUUUUCUGGACAGUGUUCGUAGCUUGCUGUUUUCAGUCAUUUUUUCCUACUUCACGAAGUCAUUUUUGAAACUACAAGUGAGGUAAUUAAACUUCAAUCUUUCCUCUUGAUUUUCAUUUUUGAAUGAAGCUGAUCCGAGGUUUCUAGAGCUUCCGCCAUCCGUUUUAAUUUUACUGCACAAAAGUUGCAUUUUUAGGAACCUCAUGGACAAAUGUUGUCCUUCAGCCAAAACUAAAAAAGGAGGGAAAAGAAAAGAAAAGACACUCACCAAGGAAAUUGAAAGCCAAAGCCCUGAGCUCCACGAGGUGGGCGAAUGGUGCAAAGGGUGGUUUAUAUAGAAAUGAAUAGAGAGAGAAACAAAUUGAUCUUUUAUGCUUUUAGUUCUGGUGGAACGAGAAACUAAGAGCUAGAGAGUAACUGUUGUAGAAAAUAUAAAAAAUCAAUAAAAACUGCGGAGAAGUUGAAAAAAAAAUGCUCCCCAAGGAGCAAAAGCCCCUAGAGUGGAGAGUAGAAGCCACAUCCCCAAGAGUAGAGAGCAACAGGGAGCAGGAGUCAUGCUCCCCAAGGAGCGGAAACCAUGCUUCCCAGGAGGUAGGAGUAGGAACCAUACUCCUUAGGGAGUAGGAGCAGGAACCAUGCCCCUAGGGAUAACAAUAACAAAAUAAGUUGUGACCCAUGAGACCAUUAACCUGAUUUUGGAUUACGGACCACAUAGAAAAGCCAAGUCUAAAUAAAGAAACUAUUGUUGAAUUAAGCUUAGUAAAUAAAAGUCAACAAUGGAAGGAUAUUACUUGGUCCGGAAGUAAAUUAAAUAAAGUUUGACACAAAUACGACCAAUAAAAAGAUAAAAAAUAUUUUGUAAUUCAAACCUUAGAGGAUAAAGGAUAAUAGGAAGAGUUAAAAUAAGAAAUGGAUUUUAUCUAUAAAAGUCUAUAAAAUCAAAGGCCUCUCUUACUUGGGGGACAAGCACUGAAAAAGUAGUAAAAAGAGGGAGAGUUGAAUUGUAAUUACGAUCUUAAUAAAAUAUUUAUUUUUUCUACCCGUGGAUGUAGUAUGAAUGCUGAACCACUUUAAUUUUAUGUAUCUUUUUAUUAUAACGCCCCGACCUAGAUUAAUUCCAACGACAGUGUGUCACAAAUCCUCUAAUAGCUUCAUGACCGGUUCAACUAGCAAAUGUGUCGCCAUAUGUAUAGGGUCAUGUUGAUGAUAAGGUUUUGCAAAAGCGUUGAAGCCGAACUAGAAACUAAUUCUUGCUGCCAUAUACUAUGAACAAUGAAAUAUACAAGGCUUUAUGAAUUUGGUUCCAACAAGUGAUGUAGGUUGGUUGGCGUAGGAUGAGCACGGUAUCUUUUAGAUGGCAUAAUUUGGACUACAAAUGUCCUACGCAUAUAAUAUAUUAUCUCAAAGCUUGCGAUGAGGUAAAUCAAGCCAAGAAUUGCUUAUGUCAUUUAGCUCCAUGCCCGAGCCAAAAAUUUUGUUUCGUUUUUGCUCGCUUUCCUAUUUUUAGUUAUUUUCUUAUUUUUCCUAUAACUUUUAAGAUUUUUUUUAAUUUUUUAAAUAUUAGAUUUAAGUGCCAUUUAUUUUAUUUUCUUCAUUUAAAUUAGAAGAGUUAUAAUGUAAAAUAAUAUUUCAAAUUUACCUAUUUAAAAUUUUAAAAUUAGUAUUAAAAAAUUUAAAAAAUCUAAUUUUGUUCAUUCAGACUAUCAAAUAAUAUUUCAUCAUUCAAAAACUUAAUUUCUCUUAAUUAUGAACCUUUUUACAUUUCCACAUCGCGACCGAGCACUAUCUAUUUUAGCUUGGCUUCGAGAUUGAAUGAUGAAUCAAUCCAUGCAAUGGGCGUUCAUUCUUGCACUGCAGGCGACUUGGAUGCGUCUCUGCUCUGCGGUGAACAACAGGCCAUCCUAUUUCUAAAUACGUAUCCGAUCUGACGUUUACAGGGUUUAAUAAGUAAACGACUUUCAUGAAAGACAUGUCGGCCCAAUUCUUGGACGAUAUGUCGUCUACUUUACAACGACAUGACAUCUGGUUUUAGAACCUACAUACGAUAAGAUGUUUAAGUUUUUACUAAACAAACGACAAGAAAAACUUUGCGAAAUUUGAAAGGCCCGAACCACAGUAGGCGCCAGAGCCUUCUUCAUUUGCAAUUUCACACAAACGGAUAUGAGCAGACUCUCCAGAAUUGCACCAACGUGAGCCACUCCGAUACGAUAUGAGACACAAUUAAUAACUACCAUGUUCGCGUUCAGGUAUCAAUGAGACAAAUUCAUAAUUGCCUAGAACGAAACUUAUCACAUCAGAAUUAUCCUUGGUAUUCCUGUUAUUUGACAGAGAGAUUUAUCAUGAGCAAAUAAGUUAAAUAUUAUUUCAUAUGUUGAUUUUAUUUUUUUUUUGCAAAAAACCUGUAAUUGGAUCGGUUGGCCAUCAAUCGCCUAUUGUUGAAAAAAGUUAAGAGGUAGGGAAAACCCAAACUGAUUUUUCCACCACUCUCAAAAUUUUAAGCAGGAAGCCAAAUAAAUUUACUUGAAACUAAAUAAAAAUGGUUGAAAAUUAUUUCACCAAACUUGUGGGAAGAGUAUUUCACAUCAAAAUUCAUCCAUAACCGGACGUAUGAAAAUAUAUUCAUAUACAUACAUAUAUCCUGUCGAAAGAUUCAUACUUUGUAGUCACCAACCAGAUGACUUCGCCAAGUCGUGAUUUUCUCCUUCUGUUGCAAAAGUCGCCAACAAAUCAAAUGCUAACAGCUGUUCAAGGCUCAAUCCAACCAGCCAAUUGGGAAUCACCCCAAUACGACAGGAUCAAGAACAAUCAAACAUGCUAUUAUGAUAUAUCUAGCUUUGUGUAAGUUUAGCUGCUUUGAUGGCGACUUAAACGCAACUCCUCAAUAAGAGCACUCAAAUCAGAGUACGAUGAACCUCCAUUUUCAACAGCCCUUUUUGCCAUCUUCUCCAAAACCUUGGCUCUGCUCCUCAUUUCUUCUGCCCUAUCGCCCACCAUUAUCUCAUUCACUGCCUUUUCUAUUUUCUCUCUCUUCACAAAAUCCCCCACAAUUCUACACCAUUUCUGGAUUCCAACACCAACACCAAUCUUAAGGACUUCAUUCACCAUCUUUUCAUUGUAAAAUUGCUCCGCGGCGACGGGCCAUGUCACCAGAGGUACCCCAGCAGCCACCGCUUCAAGAGUUGAAUUCCAUCCGCAAUGGGUCACAAAUCCUCCAACAGCUUCGUGAUCAAGUAUCAAAACCUGUGGCGCCCAUCCUCUAAUGAUUAGCCCUUUUCCCUCCAUUCUCUUCUCAAAUCCUUCAGGCAACCAAUCUUCCUUUCCUCCUUCACCGCCAUCAUUCUUGUUUUUCCUCACAGCCCAAAUGAAAUUUCUCCCUGAAGCUUCCAGGCCCGUUGCAAUCUCCAUUAGCUGAGCAGAAGUAAAGUUGACCAGGCUUCCAAAGCAAAUGUAAACAACAGAAUUGGGUUGCUUUGAAUUCAACCACUUCAAGCACUCCAGUUCAUCAAUAGAGGCUUGCUUUCCCCUCAAAGCUUUAUCUUCAAAAUUCCUAUUGCAUAAGGAAACAGGGCCAAUAUGCCAUGCCCUCCUUCCCAAAGCCUUCCUGUAAUGAUCAGCAUAAGCAUGCUCAAGCUCAUAAAAGCUGUUCACAGCAACACCAUAGCUCCUUGACUCUGACUCGUUAGUUGCUUUCAACAACCUGCUGAAGUCAUUAUAUCCCAUAUCCUGUUUUACAAAAUCUGGCAAUUGGUUUCUCGUCAGCUUGAUCUCACCCGGAAAAUGAGGCAUCACAAAUGGCUCUGAAUCCGAUGAAACUUUCUUGUGUGGCUCAUAUAGCGCCAGGCAAUUUGAUGCACACAAAGAAAAGAAACUAGUGCCGUGAAACACCAGCCAGGAAAAACAAGAAUGAUGGCGGUGAAGGAGGAAAGGAAGAAUAUAUCGGCUACCAAACAAUCUGGUUUAUGAUCUCGCAACAGCUGCUCGAGAGGUUCUUGGAGCUUCGUUGUGGCCCCGAAAAACUUGACAAUCAAUUCCUUGUUCACUUCAUUAGUGAUUGCGUCAAGAUUUUCACAUCCCUCUGGCAAA
rnacentral:lncRNA from 1 species